GACGAACGCUGGCGGCGUGCCUAAUACAUGCAAGUAGAACGCUGAAGAGAGGAGCUUGCUCUUCUUGGAUGAGUUGCGGACGGGUGAGUAACGCGUGGGUAACCUGCCUUGUAGCGGGGGAUAACUAUUGGAAACGAUAGCUAAUACCGCAUAACAAUGGAUGACACAUGUCAUUUAUUUGAAAGGGGCAAUUGCUCCACUACAAGAUGGACCUGCGUUGUAUUAGCUAGUAGGUGAGGUAAUGGCUCACCUAGGCGACGAUACAUAGCCGACCUGAGAGGGUGCUCUGCCACACUGGGACUGAGACACGGCCCAGACUCCUACGGGAGGCAGACGUAGGGAAUCUUCGGGAAUGGGGGCAACCCUGAACGAGCAACGCCGCGUGAGUGACGAAGGUUUUCGGAUCGUAAAGCUCUGUUGUACGUCAAGAACGGGUGUGAGAGUGGAAAGUGCACACAGUGACGGUAGCUUACCAGAAAGGGACGGCUAACUACGUG
rnacentral:rRNA from 1 species